GACGAACGCUGGCGGCAUGCCUAACACAUGCAAGUCGAACGAGACCUCCCGGCCUUGUUGCGGACGGGUGCGUGACAAGUGGGAACCUGCCCUUAGGUUCGGAAUACCUCACCGAGAGAGGUCCUAAUAACAGUUAAUGUCUUAGGACCUAGGAUUUUUCGCCUUUGGGUGGGCCCGCGUUGGAUUCGCUGGUUGGUAGGGUAAUAGCCUACCAACGCGACGAUCCAUAGCUGGUCGGUGAGGAUGAUCCGCCACGCUGGGGCUGAGACACGGCCCACACCGCGACGGGAGGGUGCAGUGGAGAAUAUUGUACACGGGGCGAAGGCCUGAUCCGGCAGUGCCGCGUGUGAGAGGAAUGGCGUUGUGUUGUAAUGCUCUUUUACCCGGGAUGAUAAUGACAGUACCGGGUGAAUAAGCUCCGGCUAACUCCGUG
rnacentral:rRNA from 1 species